ACGGGAGGCAGCAGUGGGGAAUCUUGCGCAAUGGGCGAAAGCCUGACGCAGCAACGCCGCGUGGGGGAUGACGGCCUUCGGGUUGUAAACCUCUUUCGACAGGGACGAAGCUUUCGGGUGACGGUACCUGUAGAAGAAGCACCGGCUAACUACGUGCCAGCAGCCGCGGUAAUACGUAGGGUGCAAGCGUUGUCCGGAUUUAUUGGGCGUAAAGAGCUCGUAGGCGGUUUGUCGCGUCGGCCGUGAAAACCUGCAGCUUAACUGUGGGCGUGCGGUCGAUACGGGCAGACUUGAGUUCAGCAGGGGAGACUGGAAUUCCUGGUGUAGCGGUGAAAUGCGCAGAUAUCAGGAGGAACACCGGUGGCGAAGGCGGGUCUCUGGGCCGAUACUGACGCUGAGGAGCGAAAGCAUGGGGAGCGAACAGGAUUAGAUACCCUGGUAGUCCAUGCCGUAAACGUUGGGCGCUAGGUGUGGGGAUGGGUUCCACCGUUUCCGUGCCGUAGCUAACGCAUUAAGCGCCCCGCCUGGGGAGUACGGCCGCAAGGCUAAAACUCAAAGGAAUUGAC
rnacentral:rRNA from 1 species